UGAAGUUGCCAGUUUAAUUCUUUCUUAAUCUAAGUUUUGACCCCUGGCUACUUUUUUUUGUUUUUUCUCCCGAUUUUCUAAAGUUAGUGUAGUGGCGUUUACACGCUUUUAUGAUUUUUUUUUCCUUCUUUUUUUGUAAUUAUGUGGUAACUUGUUGAACUUAUCGUGUAGGUAAAAUUGGGUCGCCAAAGCUGAAUUUUGGCUGCUGACCAGAGAUCACAAUUUAAAAAGUUAUUUAUGGCAUGUAUUAAUGAUUUACCGUAUUAAUUUUCCUUACCUUUUUUUUAAAAUAAAUUUAAAAAGAAUUACUUGUAAUGAAUGCGAGGUGGCAUAAGUUUCCCGAAAAAUGGGAACAGAAAAGAAAAGAAAAGAAAAACAUGAUAUGUUAUCCUGUUUGUACGGUUAUAAGCACCGGAACAAGGCUUCAUCUACCUGAAAUUUUAUUGUCAAAACUAUAUUGAAAUUUGAACGGUGCUUAAAAUCAUUCUGUUUGGGACAUGGAAUGGCAUCAUAACGAUAAAUUAUUUAAAUUAAUACAUAUGCUUCCACUAAUUUGUCUCGUGAAAUUUUUUUCAAGCAAGUACUAGAGUAAAAAUAUGAUGACUAGUGGCUCUUGCAAUUUUCAUUUUCAAACUUGAAUUCCAAAUAAGAUGUAAACAGUGUCAUCAACAUAUGUCCUUUAGAUUAUGUGUUGACCUGGAUUAACAUGUCUGCAAACCUUCUUUAUUUGAUUGAAAUAGGACAUUACCCGGAGACAAAUUCAUGCUCUGAUUCUUACUCCUGAUUUUUUGUCUACUGUAGUUCUGCUUAUGAACAAUCAACGUAUUGUGAUAUGUUCCACUCAAAUGAUUCUGGUUGGAGAGAAUGCACUUCAUGUGACAAGCGUCUCCAUUGUGGAUGCAUUGCUUCUAUGUCUCAGCUUGAAUUAUUAGAUAUUGGUGGUGUAAGCUGUAUAAACUGUGCAAGGAAUUCAGGAUUGCAACCUAUUGCAAGCAAC